AGAUGAGAAUGCAACCAGGCUGUGAUAUCUGUCGCCAGGGUUGGUUUCCAUGAUCUGACUGGAUAGGCAGACAUCCUUUUUGUCCUUCAUCACUCUGUGUAAUUCCCUCAGAAGAUUCUCGGCUACCGUUGAAGAACACAGCCUUCCACAAAUAGAGGAGGACUGGUCUUUGGUCAAGGGUGUGGAAGUAUCUGUGCUGCCCUGCUAUAAAUUCCAAACAAAAUCUUAUGGUCAUGGUGUUUUAUCACAGCACUAGACAACUGUAAUAACUACUAAAGAGCAUCAACCUAUUAUU
rfam:Mesocricetus auratus contig105328, whole genome shotgun sequence.